rnacentral:rRNA from 1 species
GACGGAGGGGGCAAGCGUUGUCCGGACUCACUGGGCGUAAAGCGUGCGUAGGUGGUGCGAUGCGUCGGCGCUGAAAGCGCCCGGCUUAACCGGGCGACGGGCGACGAUACGAUCGCACUGGAGGCAGGGAGACGUUGGUGGAAUUCCGGGUGUAGUGGUGAAAUGCGUAGAGAUCCGGAGGAAUGCCGGUGGCGUAAGCGGCCAACGAGUCCUGUCCUGACACUGAGGCACGACAGCGUGGUGAGCAAACCCG